GGCAAUGAUGGUCGGUAUGGAGCAGUUCGACCUGCUGGUUCAGCAGGUUAGAGGCCUCACCGAAGUAGUGCAGGCCAUGCAGCAGUAGCAGCAACAGCUGCAGGUGUCAGUGUGGUUGGAAAGAGCAUCGUCGGAGUUCCAAGAUCUGAUAGUAGGGCAGGCCACUUGGGCCAGUCGUCCUAUUUUCCCCGAAAAAGGGAAUCCGAGGGUGGAGAGCCCCNNNN
rnacentral:lncRNA from 1 species